rnacentral:sRNA from 1 species
UGGUAAAAAGAACUUUUGGGAUGCUAGAGAAGAUGGAAUCUAUUUCACUCAUGGCAAA